rnacentral:tRNA from 1 species
GAGGUUGUGGCUCAGCGGUACAGCCCUCACCUAGCACGAGGGAGGCGGUAGGUUCGAUCCUCAGCACCA